GUCCUACGGGGGGCAGCAGUGGGGAAUAUUGCACAAUGGGGGAAACCCUGAUGCAGCGACGCCGCGUGGGCGAUGAAGUACCUCGGUAUGUAAAGCCCUAUCAGCAGGGAAGAAACAGGACAGUACCUGACUAAGAAGCCCCGGCUAACUACGUGCCAGCAGCCGCGGUAAUACGUAGGGGGCAAGCGUUAUCCGGAUUUACUGGGUGUAAAGGGAGCGUAGACGGCUGGCCAAGUCUGAAGUGAAAGCCCGGGGCUUAACCCCGGAACGGCUUUGGAAACUGGCCGGCUGGAGUGCUGGAGAGG
rnacentral:rRNA from 1 species